UACGUAGGGAGCGAGCGUUGUCCGGAUUUAUUGGGCGUAAAGAGCUCGUAGGCGGUUCGGUAAGUCGGGUGUGAAAACCCCAGGCUCAACCUGGGGACGCCACCCGAUACUGCUGUGACUUGAGUCUGGUAGGGGAGCACGGAAUUCCUGGUGUAGCGGUGAAAUGCACAGAUAUCAGGAGGAACACCGAUGGCGAAGGCAGGUCUCUGGGCCGAUACUGACGCUGAGGAGCGAAAGCGUGGGGAGCGAACAGG
rnacentral:rRNA from 1 species